rnacentral:rRNA from 1 species
UUUUGCUGACGAGUGGCGCACGGGUGAGUAAACUAUAGUUAAUGUACCCCAAAGACUGGGAUAGCCACUGGAAACGGUGAUUAAUACUAGAUACACCUUCUUAUCACAAGGUAAGAAGGGAAAUGUCUUUUCGCUUUGGGAUCAGACUAUAUCCUAUCAGCUAGUUGGUGAGGUAAUGGCUCACCAAGGCAAUGACGGGUAGCGGUUCUGAGAGGAUGAUCCGCCACACUGGUACUGAGACACGGACCAGACUCCUACGGGAGGCAGCAGUGAGGAAUAUUGCACAAUGGGGGGAACCCUGAUGCAGCAACGCCGCGUGGAGGAUGACGCAUUUCGGUGUGUAAACUCCUUUUAUAUGUCAAGAAAAUGACGGUAGCAUAUGAAUAAGCACCGGCUAACUCCGUGCC